GUGAUGAGAUAUGGGGCCCGGCCAAUACCCAUUGCUAUCUGGGUAUCGGGUUUGUCCAUUUUUCCCACUCUCAAAUCUUGAUUGGUAAGAAACACUGAAAACAAUUGAGGACACUGUGCCUCAGCUGUAACAACCCCAAGAGACUCUCUUCUGUUCGCUUUUGGGUUUCUUCAAAGGAGUUUUGGUCUGUUGAAAUGUGUAACUAUCAACCUUGGGAAGAGGAUUCACUUCAGAGUGAAUAUUAUGUACAAAGUACUGCAGAAGGCGUAGAUGUAGCGGAGACAAGGUGGGGAGCCCGGCUGGCAAUGUUGGAAGCAAGGGUAACUCGAGUGGAGGCUAGGGUGGAAAGACUUGAGGCAAAGAUGCUUCAUCUGCAGAAGGGAAUGCGUGUUGUUUGCGCGCUGUUUCUGGUUACUCUCAUGUAUGCAAUAUUCAAGUAAAUGUCAUUGUCAGGGAUGAUCCGAUCAUUAGUUUUCAGUUGUAUGCUCUAUAUUUCUGUGAGACAUAUAUAGUAAUGCAUAUGCUGAUUCUCUGAUCUGUUGAGUUUUCUUGCAAGUAAAUGGUAGGUUUGGAAAAUGGUUUGUUUUUUUAUUUUCCUUUUUUUCCCUCUUAUGAUGCUGUAGAACUACAUUUUAGCCAAGCAAAAACAGACCAAAGGUCCCUGAAUCAAUUUGUACAUUGAAUUCUACUGUCAUGAUCUGUCAA